GCGGCAGGCUUAACACAUGCAAGUCGAGGGGCAGCAUGGGAGUAGCAAUACUUCUGAUGGCGACCGGCGCACGGGUGCGUAACGCGUAUGCAACCUACCUGUAACAGGGGGAUAACACUGAGAAAUCGGUACUAAUACCGCAUAACACUAUGAGAGGCAUCUCUUGUGGUUGAAAGUUUCGGCGGUUACAGAUGGGCAUGCGUUGUAUUAGCUGGUUGGUAAGGUAACGGCUUACCAAGGCGACGAUACAUAGGGGGACUGAGAGGUUAACCCCCCACAUUGGUACUGAGACACGGACCAAACUCCUACGGGAGGCAGCAGUGAGGAAUAUUGGUCAAUGGACGAAAGUCUGAACCAGCCAUGCCGCGUGCAGGAAGACGGCUCUAUGAGUUGUAAACUGCUUUUGUACAAGGGUAAACCUGAAUACGUGUAUUCAGCUGAAAGUACUGUACGAAUAAGGAUCGGCUAACUCCGUGCCAGCAGCCGCGGUAAUACGGAGGAUCCAAGCGUUAUCCGGAUUUAUUGGGUUUAAAGGGUGCGUAGGCGGAUUGAUAAGUUAGAGGUGAAAUGUCCGGGCUCAACUCGGGAACUGCCUCUAAUACUGUUGAUCUAGAGAGUAGAUGCGGUAGGCGGAAUGUAUGGUGUAGCGGUGAAAUGCUUAGAGAUCAUACAGAACACCGAUUGCGAAGGCAGCUUACCAAUCUAUAUCUGACGUUGAGGCACGAAAGCGUGGGGAGCAAACAGGAUUAGAUACCCUGGUAGUCCACGCAGUAAACGAUGAUAGCUCGUUGUCGGCGAUACACAGUCGGUGACUAAGAGAAAUCGAUAAGCUAUCCACCUGGGGAGUACGUUCGCAAGAAUGAAACUCAAAGGAAUUGACGGGGGCCCGCACAAGCGGAGGAACAUGUGGUUUAAUUCGAUGAUACGCGAGGAACCUUACCCGGGCUUGAAAGUUAGUGACUGAUCUGGAAACAGGUCUUCCCUUCGGGGCACGAAACUAGGUGCUGCAUGGUUGUCGUCAGCUCGUGCCGUGAGGUGUCGGGUUAAGUCCCAUAACGAGCGCAACCCCUACUGAUAGUUGCCAUCAGGUCAAGCUGGGCACUCUAUCGGGACUGCCGGUGUAAGCCGGAGGAGGGUGGGGAUGACGUCAAAUCAGCACGGCCCUUACGUCCGGGGCGACACACGUGUUACAAUGGUAGGUACAGAGGGCAGCUACCCAGCGAUGGGGUGCAAAUCUCGAAAGCCUAUCUCAGUUCGGAUUGGAGGCUGAAACUCGCCUCCAUGAAGUUGGAUUCGCUAGUAAUCGCGCAUCAGCCAUGGCGCGGUGAAUACGUUCCCGGGCCUUGUACACACCGCCCGUCAAGCCAUGGGAGUUGGGGGUGCCUGAAGUUCGUG
rnacentral:rRNA from 1 species